rnacentral:rRNA from 1 species
GGUUUGAUUAUGGCUCAGAUUGAACGCUGGCGGGAUGCUUUACACAUGCAAGUCGAACGGCAGCACGGACUUCGGUCUGUGGCGAGUGGCGAAACGGGUGAGUAAGGCCGUAUCGGAACGUGCCUGUAGUGGGGAUAACUACGCAGCGUAGCUAAUACCGCAUACGCCCCCGCGGGGACCUCUUCGGGCCUCGCACUAUUAGAGCGGCCGAUAUCGGAUUAGCUAGUUGGUGGGGCAAUGGCUCACCAAUGGCGACGAUCCGUAGCUGGUUUGAGAGGACGACCAGCCACAGCCGGACUGAGACACGGCCCAGACUCCUACGGGAGGCAGCAGUGGGGAAUUUUGGACAAUGGGGGAAACCCUGAUUCAGCCAUCCUGCGUAGCGGAUAAAGGCCUUCGGGUUGUAAAGCACUUUUGGCAGGAAAGAAACGGUACGGGAUAAUACCCCCGUGCAACUGACGGUACCUGUAUCGGGGCACCGGCUAACUACGCCAGCCGCGGUAAUACGUAGGGUGCAAGCGUUAACUGGAAUUACUGGGCGUAAAGCGUGCGCAGGUUCGAAAGAAAGAUGCGAAAUCCCAGAGCUUAACUUCUUUGGAACUGCAUUUUUAACUACCGAGCUAGAGUGUCAGAGGAGGUGCAAUCGCGUGUAGCAGGAAUGCGUAGAUAUGUGAGGAACACCGAUGAAGGCAGCCUCUGGGAUAACACUGACGCUCAUGCACGAAAGCGUGGGGAGCAACAACCACGCCCUCUAAACGAUGUCAACUAGCUGCUAGCCUUGGCCUUGGUAGCGCAGUUAACAAGUGGUGAAGCGGACCGCCCGGGGAGUACGGUCGCAAGAUUAAAACUCAGCGAAUUGACGGGGAUUCCGCACAAGCGGUGGAUGAUGUGGAUUAAUUCGAUGCAACGCGAAAACCUUACUCACCUGACAUGUCUGGAAUCCCGAAGAGAUUUGGGAGUGCUCGCAAGAGAACCGGAACACAGGUGCUGCAUGGCUGUCGUCAGCUCGUGUCGUGAGAUGUUGGGUUAAGUCCCGCAACGAGCGCAACCUCCUGUCAUUAGUUGCUACGGUGCGGGCACUCUAAUGAGACUUGCCGGUGACAAACCGGAGUGGUGGGGAUGACGUCAAGUCCUCAUGGCCCUGGCGGUGUGGCUUCACACGUCAUACAAUGGUCGGGACAGAGUGGUCGCCAACCCGCGAGGGGGAGCUAAUCCCAGAAACCCGAUCGUAGUCCGGAUCGCAGUCUGCAACUCGACUGCGGUGAAGUCGGACUGCUAGUAAUCAGGAUCAGCAUGUCGCGUGAAUACGUUCCUGGUCUUGUACACACCGCCCGUCACACCAUGGGAGUGGCUUUACCAGAAGUAGUUAGCCUAACCGUAAGGAGGGCGAUUACCACGGUAGGAUUCAUGACUGGGGUGAAGUCGUAACAAGGUAG